GCUGGCGUAGCUCAACUGGCAGAGCAGCUGAUUUGUAAUCAGCAGGUUGCGGGUUCAAGUCCCUUCGCCAGCU
rnacentral:tRNA from 1 species